AUUGAACGCUGGCGGCAUGCCUUACACAUGCAAGUCGAACGGUAACAGGUUAAGCUGACGAGUGGCGAACGGGUGAGUAAUGUAUCGGAACGUGCCCAGUCGUGGGGGAUAACUGCUCGAAAGAGCAGCUAAUACCGCAUACGACCUGAGGGUGAAAGCGGGGGAUCGCAAGACCUCGCGCGAUUGGAGCGGCCGAUAUCAGAUUAGGUAGUUGGUGAGGUAAAGGCUCACCAAGCCGACGAUCUGUAGCUGGUCUGAGAGGACGACCAGCCACACUGGGACUGAGACACGGCCCAGACUCCUACGGGAGGCAGCAGUGGGGAAUUUUGGACAAUGGGCGCAAGCCUGAUCCAGCCAUGCCGCGUGCGGGAAGAAGGCCUUCGGGUUGUAAACCGCUUUUGUCAGGGAAGAAAAGGUUCUGGCUAUUACCUGGGACUCAUGACGGUACCUGAAGAAUAAGCACCGGCUAACUACGUG
rnacentral:rRNA from 1 species